GAUGAACGCUGGCGGCGUGCCUAAUACAUGCAAGUCGAGCGAACAGAUGAGGAGCUUGCUCCUCUGACGUUAGCGGCGGACGGGUGAGUAACACGUGGAUAACCUACCUAUAAGACUGGGAUAACUUCGGGAAACCGGAGCUAAUACCGGAUAAUAUAUUGAACCGCAGGGUUCAAUAGUGAAAGACGGUUUUGCUGUCACUUAUAGAUGGAUCCGCGCCGCAUUAGCUAGUUGGUAAGGUAACGGCUUACCAAGGCAACGAUGCGUAGCCGACCUGAGAGGGUGAUCGGCCACACUGGAACUGAGACACGGUCCAGACUCCUACGGGAGGCAGCAGUAGGGAAUCUUCCGCAAUGGGCGAAAGCCUGACAGAGCAACGCCGCGUGAGUGAUGAAGGUCUUCGGAUCGUAAAACUCUGUUAUUAGGGAAGAACAAAUGUGUAAGUAACUAUGCACGUCUUGACGGUACCUAAUCAGAAAGCCACGGCUAACUACGUG
rnacentral:rRNA from 1 species